GAUGAACGCUGGCGGCGUGCUUAACACAUGCAAGUCGAACGGAACUCAUUGGAUCAAGACUUCGGUCAAGUGAAUUUGAGUUUAGUGGCGGACGGGUGAGUAACGCGUGAGGAACCUGCCUCGGAGUGGGGAAUAACAGUUGGAAACGACUGCUAAUACCGCAUAAUGCAUUUGGGUCGCAUGAUCCGGAUGCCAAAGAUUUAUCGCUCUGAGAUGGCCUCGCGUCUGAUUAGCUAGUUGGCGGGGUAAUGGCCCACCAAGGCGACGAUCAGUAGCCGGACUGAGAGGUUGGCCGGCCACAUUGGGACUGAGACACGGCCCAGACUCCUACGGGAGGCAGCAGUGGGGAAUAUUGGGCAAUGGGCGCAAGCCUGACCCAGGCAACGCCGCGUGAAGGAAGAAGGACUUUCGGGUUGUAAACUUCUUUUAUCUAGGGACGAAUAUUGACGGUACCU
rnacentral:rRNA from 1 species